rnacentral:rRNA from 1 species
UACAGAGGUCUCAAGCGUUGUUCGGAUUCAUUGGGCGUAAAGGGUGUGUAGGUGGCGCGCUAAGUCGGGUGUGAAAUUUCGGAGCUUAACUCCGAAACUGCAUUCGAUACUGGCGUGCUUGAGGACUGGAGAGGAGACUGGAAUUCAUGGUGUAGCAGUGAAAUGCGUAGAGAUCAUGAGGAAGACCAGUGGCGAAGGCGGGUCGAUCUGGACAGUUCCUGACACUGAGACACGAAAGCCAGGGGAGCAAACGGG